rnacentral:rRNA from 1 species
GAUGAACGCUAGCGGCAGGCUUAAUACAUGCAAGUCGAGGGACAGCACAGGUAGCAAUACUGGGUGGUAACCGGCAAACGGGUGCGGAACACGUACACAACCUUCCUUUAAGUGGGGGAUAGCCCAGAGAAAUUUGGAUUAAUACCCCGUAAUAUAGUUGAAUGGCAUCAUUUGAUUAUUAUAGCUACGGCGCUUAAUGAUGGGUGUGCGGCUGAUUAGAUAGUUGGCGGGGUAACGGCCCACCAAGUCCACGAUCAGUAGCUGAUGUGAGAGCAUGAUCAGCCACACGGGCACUGAGACACGGGCCCGACUCCUACGGGAGGCAGCAGUAAGGAAUAUUGGUCAAUGGACGCAAGUCUGAACCAGCCAUGCCGCGUGAAGGAUUAAGGUCCUCUGGAUUGUAAACUUCUUUUGUUUGGGACGAAAAAGGGCCUUUCUAGGUCAACUGACGGUACCAGAUGAAUAAGCACCGGCUAACUCCGUGCCAGCCGCCGCGGUAAUAC